rfam:Gregarina niphandrodes unplaced genomic scaffold scaffold00041, whole genome shotgun sequence.
GCACCAAUGGUCCAAGGGUAGGAUUUGAGCUUCCCAAGCUUAAAGCCCGGGUUCGAGUCCCGGUUGGUGCA